UCCUGUAUCGAAAGUGGUCAUGGCUUCCUCGUCGUCAGGCCAUUGAUGGGACAGGAAGAUCAACUGAGAGCCUUUCCCGUGUGUGAAGGACUGUCAGUUCCUAUCAGACCCUGGCGCUCCCGGACA
ensembl:snoRNA SNORA71 Small nucleolar RNA SNORA71